GAUGAACGCUGGCGGCGUGCCUAAUACAUGCAAGUCGAACGCGCAGCGAGAGGUGCUUGCACCUUUCAAGCGAGUGGCGAACGGGUGAGUAACACGUGGAUAACCUGCCUCAAGGCUGGGGAUAACAUUUGGAAACAGAUGCUAAUACCGAAUAAAACUUAGUAUCGCAUGAUAUCAAGUUAAAAGGCGCUACGGCGUCACCUAGAGAUGGAUCCGCGGUGCAUUAGUUAGUUGGUGGGGUAAAGGCUUACCAAGACGAUGAUGCAUAGCCGAGUUGAGAGACUGAUCGGCCACAUUGGGACUGAGACACGGCCCAAACUCCUACGGGAGGCUGCAGUAGGGAAUCUUCCACAAUGGGCGCAAGCCUGAUGGAGCAACGCCGCGUGUGUGAUGAAGGCUUUCGGGUCGUAAAGCACUGUUGUAUGGGAAGAAAUGCUAAAAUAGGGAAUGAUUUUAGUUUGACGGUACCAUACCAGAAAGGGACGGCUAAAUACGUGCCAGCCGCCGCCGUAA
rnacentral:rRNA from 1 species